rnacentral:lncRNA from 1 species
CCGAGAAAAACCGGUUUUAAUGUCAAACUUGAACAGUCACUUUAUAAAGCCCAAGCCAUUUGCCCAGUAGUGGGAAUGGUUAAAAUAGGUUCUUUACUUCACUGUUAAUACGAAAUCCAAAUAUUUUGGAAAUCGGUCCCAGAGGUCCCGAGAAAAACCGGUUUUAAUGUCAAACUUGAACAGUCACUUUAUAAAGCCCAAGCCAUUUGCCCAGUAGUGGGAAUGGUUAAAAUAGGUUCUUUACUUCACUCUUAAGACGAAAUCCAAAUAUUUUAGAAAUCGGUCCCAGAGGUCCCGAGAAAAACCGGAUCUAAUGUUCAACUUGAACAGUCACUUUAUAAAGCCCGAGCCAUUUGCCCAGUAGUGGGAAUGGUUAGAAUAGGUUCUUUACUUCACUGUUAAUACGAAAUCCAAAUAUUUUGGAAAUCGGUCCCAGAGGUCCCGAGAAAAACCGGAUCUAAUGUUCAACUUGAACAGUCACUUUAUAAAGCCCAAGCCAUUUGCCCAGUAGUGGGAAUGGUUAGAAUAGGUUCUUUACUUCACUGUUAAUACGAAAUCCAAAUAUUUUGGAAAUCGGUCCCAGAGGUCCCGAGAAAAACCGGUUUUAAUGUCAAACUUGAACAGUCACUUUAUAAAGCCCAAGCCAUUUGCCCAGUAGUGGGAAUGGUUAAAAUAGGUUCUUUACUUCACUCUUAAGACGGAAUCCAAAUAUUUUUGAAAUCGGUCCCAGAGGUCCCGAGAAAAACCGGUUAUAAUGUUAGCCAGCCAUUGUUAGCGAGCCAUUUUAAGCAGCCACAAACCUAACAACCUCUUUUCUUGAAAUAACAUUCAG